GUGCCAGCAGCCGCGGUAAUACGUAGGGUCCGAGCGUUGUCCGGAAUUAUUGGGCGUAAAGGGCUCGUAGGCGGUCUGUUGCGUCGGGAGUGAAAACUUACAGCUUAACUGUGAGCGUGCUUCCGAUACGGGCAGACUUGAGGUAUUCAGGGGAGAACGGAAUUCCUGGUGUAGCGGUGAAAUGCGCAGAUAUCAGGAGGAACACCGGUGGCGAAGGCGGUUCUCUGGGAAUAUCCUGACGCUGAGGAGCGAAAGUGUGGGGAGCGAACAGGAUUAGAAACCCCCGUAGUCC
rnacentral:rRNA from 1 species